ensembl:misc_RNA Metazoa_SRP Metazoan signal recognition particle RNA
GCUGGGUGUGGUAGUGCACACCCGUAAUCCCAGGUACUCAGGAGGCUGAGGCAGGAGAAUUGCUUGAACCUGGGAGGCGGAGGUUGCAGUGAGUCAAGAUCACAUCACUGCACUCCCAGCCUGGGUAACAGAGCAAGACUCUGUCUCAA